AUACGGAGGAUGCAAGCGUUAUCCGGAUUUAUUGGGUUUAAAGGGUGCGUAGGCUGUUCGGAAAGUCAGGGGUGAAAGCCCGGCGCCUAACGCCGGAACUGCCUUUGAUACUUCCGAGCUGGAAUACGGAUGCCGUGGGAGGAAUGAGUAGUGUAGCGGUGAAAUGCAUAGAUAUUACUCAGAACACCGAUUGCGAAGGCAUCUCACGAAUCCGUCAUUGACGCUGAGGCACGAAAGCGUGGGGAUCAAACAGGAUUAGAUACCCUGGUAGUCCACGCAGUAAACGAUAAUGACUAACCGUCGGCGAUACACAGUCGGUGGCCAAGCGAAAGCGAUAAGUCAUCCACCUGGGGAGUACGUUCGCAAGAAUGAAACUCAAAUGAAUUGACGGGG
rnacentral:rRNA from 1 species